rnacentral:rRNA from 1 species
AUUGAACGCUGGCGGCAGGCCUAACACAUGCAAGUCGAACGAGUGGCGGAAGGGUUAGUAAUAUCUGGGAAACUGCCUGAUGGAGUGGGAUAACUACUGGAAACUGUAGCUAAUACCGCAUAACAUCCGAUGUGCCCAUAUGGGAUUAGCUAGUUGGUGGGUUAACGGCUCACCAAGGCGACGCUCCCUCGCUGGUCUGAGAGGAUGACCAGCCACACUGGAACGGAGACAAGGUCCAGACUCCUACGGGAGGCAGCAGUGGGGAAGAUGGCACAAUGGGCGCAAGCCUGAUGCAGCCAUGCCGCGUGUAUGAAGAAGGCCUUCGGGUUGUAAAGUACUUUCAGCGGGGAGGCGUUACCCGCAGAAGAAGCACCGGCUAACUCCGUGCCAGCAGCCGCGGUAAUUC